AACAUUGCAUGCCAUUUUUGCCUCUAAAGUGCCAUGGAAAGAACUUUUUAUUUGUCGUUGGUCACGCCGCAAACCUCAUUGGAUACCAAAAGAUCUGAGGAACUUGUUUAAGAUUUUGCCAUGCAUCCACUAUUUGUACUGCAAUACUCAUGUAGUUUACAAAUAUAAAUUACUAACAUGGCUUAAGAAAAAUGUUAUAUUCUAGCCUAGUGCUAUAUUGUAUGAGAUUCUCUAUGAUACUUUUUUCAACGUAUGGUUUCAAUUAUUACUAAUGCAUAUACACACACAAUGGAAAAUGGUAGAGGAAAUUGAAAAAGACAGACAUGUGAAUGUCACUUUCUUUUUAGCUGUCUCUAGGGUCGGGUAUAUCUAUAUUCCAUACCAUUUAUUCACUAUACCCACCACCCUCUUUCAUAUUCUUCCUAUAUUCUCUCAAUUACAAAAAUAUUUGAAAUUUUCUCAUUUUUUUCAUGAAUUUUAAAUCUUAUUCAUGUAUUCUACACCUCCAUGAAAGGAAAAUAUAAGUAAUUGUAAUUUAUAGAGAAAUAAUAUUAUUCUAUAGAAAAUUCCAAUGACAGCUUGCAAUUUUAGCUUUUUCCUUGGUUUGUCUCUUGUAAUUUUAGGAAGAACAUUUGUUUUACUUUUAAUCAAUUUUUUUUAAUAACGUAUUUUAUUUAUUAAAAAGGAAUUACGGAGAAUGUGUAACACUUUUUUUAUUCUCUUGUGAUUAUAAUUUAUAUUCAUCGAUAUCAUCGACUAACCACUAGAAGUAUAUAUUAAUGUGUUUUUGUCCUUAUAAUCAUAUAUAUGAAUGUCCUAUGAGUAUGAAAUGUAAUGGUCCGUGACACUAUAGAUAGAAGAUAUGAAUUUACAUCACAUACUGAUACAAAGUCUCUCUUCAACUAGAGUUGACGAUAAACUUAUUAAGCAAAUAAUGCAAAACAAAUGUCUGAAUCGUACAUAUCAAAAUACAAACUCAAAUAUGAUAGAAUGUUGAACACUAGGGGAUAAAAAAAUAUUGAAAGUAAAGUACACGAAAACGAGGCUGACCAAUUCAAUAAUGAUCUCAAACGAGGAGAAGAUGUGCUGCAACAACUCCAACAACGCAAGACACUGCUACGACGUUGUUUCUAACNNNN
rnacentral:lncRNA from 1 species